GACUGAAAUGUUCUAUUCAUCCACAGAACAGAUACAGCCCGGGAAGCGCCAAUGUAAUGUGCCGAUGUGCCUAAAUCCUGAUCUGGAGGGACAGCCGUUGAGAAUGAGAGGUGAGCUGUGUC
ensembl:misc_RNA